rnacentral:rRNA from 1 species
UACGUAGGGGGGCAAGCGUUGUCCGGAAUCAUUGGGCGUAAAGCGCGUGUAGGCGGCCCGAUAAGUCCGCUGUGAAAGCCCCCGGCUCAACUGGGGAGGGUCACGCGAUACUGAUCGACUCGAAGGCAGGAGAGGGUAGUGGAAUUCCCGGUGUAGUGGUGAAAUGCGUAGAUAUCAGGAGGAACACCAAUGGCGAAGGCAGCUCGCUGGAACGGUACUGACGCUGAGGCGCGAAAGCGUGGGGGGAGCAAACAGG